GCCCACCCCGCGGUGUCCCCUCGGGAGCCCCGCCGUUCCCCGCGGCUCCUCGCUGAUGUCCCCCAGCACCGCGGCUGGCCCUGGUGCCGUGAGGUGUCCGCAUACCCCUUCAGCUCCUUGGAGACUUCCUGCAGCGAGGACAUCUUCUUGGAUGCUUUUCCAUCUGCGGCCCUGCCUUGGGAUGUCUGUCCACGGGGAGGCACAGUGGCCAUGUCCCCGGGUGGCCCCUGGGGUGGCUUUGGCUACCAGCACAGCCCGUCUGGCUGUGCCGUCCAGGGUCCUGUCCUGUGCCAGCCCCCUGUCCUGAGGAAUUGCUCAGCGUUGGGGAGUAGGGCCCGGCUGAACGCUAUCAUGUAUUUGUAAAUUAUUGGGUUCACUGUGUCUUGAAGACAGAUGCAGAGUGGCAUAACUUGAUAAUUGCAUUCAGCAAAGUAUAUCAGCACUCAAGGGAUUUAUAAUAACUGGUUGUUUUGUAAUAUAUUUUACAAACAGGACAGAAAUCUGUAUAUGUUGAGCCACCUAGGAGAGUUAAAGAAAUACUGGAGGAGCACUUUCAUUUUCAGAAAGAAGAAUGCAAUGUUAAACAUCCAGCUGCAGUGGCUCUGGAAGAAGUUUGGAAUAUGAAGAACAAUUUCUCCAUUAGAAGACUGAAACCAGUGUCACAGAACAGCAGCGAUUUACUUUUACAGCCUCAAUUCUACUCAAGACAUGCAAGAAUGAAAAAUUACUGAAUGUCAGUGCUGUGAAGACCUGAGCCUGCUUUGAUGUGUCAUAUCAAACAUUGGCAUAACUAGCUAUCUUUGGAAAUGUAGAUGUUUAUUUAUAGGAUUUUGAAUAAAGUUCUACUUGAAUAUGGA